UUAGCUCAGCUGGCAGAGCACCUGACUCUUAAUCAGGGUGUCCAGGGUUUGGGCCCCUGA
rnacentral:tRNA from 1 species